rnacentral:rRNA from 1 species
CCCUAGUAACGGCGAGUGAAGCGGCAACAGCUCAAAUUUGAAAUCUGGCUUCGGCCCGAGUUGUAAUUUGCAGAGGAUGUUUCUGGCGCGGUGCCUUCCGAGUUCCCUGGAACGGGACGCCACAGAGGGUGAGAGCCCCGUAUGGUUGGACACCAAGCCUGUGUGAAACUCCUUCGACGAGUCGAGUAGUUUGGGAAUGCUGCUCAAAAUGGGAGGUAAAUCUCUUCUAAAGCUAAAUACCGGCCAGAGACCGAUAGCGCACAAGUAGAGUGAUCGAAAGAUGAAAAGCACCUUGAAAAGGGGGUUAAACAGUACGUGAAAUUGUUGAAAGGGAAGCGCUUGUGACCAGACUUGCGCCGGGCGGUUCAUCCGGGGUUCUCCCCGGUGCACUCCGCCCGGUUCAGGCCAGCAUCGGUUCUCGUUGGGGGAUAAGAACGGCAGGAACGUGGCCCUCCUUCGGGUGGGUGUUAUAGCCUGCCGUACGAUACCCUGACGGGGACCGAGGUUCGCGCUCCGCAAGGAUGCUGGCGUAAUGGUCAUCAGCGACCCGUCUUGAAACACGGACCAAGGAGUCGUCCAUUAGAGCGAGCGUUUGGGUGUCAAACCCGCACGCGUAAUGAAAGUGAAAUUAGGUGAGAGCUUCGGCGCAUCAUCGACCGAUCCUGAUGUUCUCGGAUGGAUUUGAGUAAGAGUUUUAACGGACGGACCCGAAAGACAGUGAACUAUGCUUGUAUAGGGUGAAGCCAGAGGAAACUCUGGUGGAGGCUCGCAGCGGUUCUGACGUGCAAAUCGAUCGUCAAAUAUGAGCAUGGGGGCGAAAGACUAAUCGAACUGUCUAGUAGCUGGUUACCGCCGAAGUUUCCCUCAGGAUAGCAGUGUUGACCUUCAGUUUUAUGAGGUAAAGCGAAUGAUUAGGGACUCGGGGGCGCUUUUUAGCCUUCAUCCAUUCUCAAACUUUAAAUAUGUAAGAAGCCCUUGUUACUUUGUUGAACGUGGGCAUUCGAAUGUAUCAACACUAGUGGGCCAUUUUUGGUAAGCAGAACUGGCGAUGCGGGAUGAACCGAACGCGGGGUUAAGGCGCCAGAGUGUACGCUCAUCAGACACCACAAAAGGCGUUAGUACAUCUUGACAGCAGGACGGUGGCCAUGGAAGUCGGAAUCCGCUAAGGACUGUGUAACAACUCACCUGCCGAAUGUACUAGCCCUGAAAAUGGAUGGCGCUCAAGCGUACCGCCCAUACCCCGCCCUCAGGGUAGAAACGAUGCCCUGAGGAGUAGGCGGCCGUGGAGGUCAGUGACGAAGCCUA